rnacentral:piRNA from 1 species
UCCACAGCUCUUCCUCUUUUCUCUACUGGU